GGAUGAAUAUUGGUCAAUGGACGUAAGUCUGAACCAGCCAAGUAGCGUGCAGGAUGACGGCCCUAUGGGUUGUAAACUGCUUUUAUGCGGGGAUAAAGUGAGGGACGCGUCCCUUUUUGCAGGUACCGCAUGAAUAAGGACCGGCUAAUUCCGUGCCAGCAGCCGCGGUAAUACGGAAGGUCCGGGCGUUAUCCGGAUUUAUUGGGUUUAAAGGGAGCGUAGGCCGGCUUUUAAGCGUGUUGUGAAAUGCCGCGGCUCAACCGUGGCACUGCAGCGCGAACUGGAG
rnacentral:rRNA from 1 species